rnacentral:lncRNA from 15 species
CGCAAGGUAGUCCCAUGUAUUGUAGCCAUGCACAUUCUCCUCACAGUCCCACCCAGACAGGGCUUAGUUCUACCCGGGUUCAAUCAGGGCCUGCACAGCCUCAGCAAAGCCCUCCACCACACAGUCCUGUGCAGGACUACAUUUCACAGGCACAGCUCGACCGACCAUGUAGUACUAACAUCAUCACACAGCCUCAGCACAGUCCUACACCACGUAGUCCUGCACAAGUUGGCACAUCACACCCACAGAGUCCCACACAGGAUUCUAAACCUACACUGGACCAGGGGAGCCCUGGAUCAAGCAGCCCUGCUCAGCUGCAAUGUUGGGCUGCACAGGACAUUUCUACACUGGACCAGGACUACUGUAGGUCCACUCAGACAGCAAGAAGACACGCCUCACUGACGCCUAUUUCAGCUCCAUGUAGCCCAUCACCGGCCCCACCCAAAGCCACACAGUGUAGUCUGUCACAACCUACAAGCCCAGUAAAGGCCCACUCCUUACAGCCUGUUAGGCCUUCACAGCUUAGCCUUGUUCCUUCUCAACUUGCUACACAGUCAGAAGUCACAAAGGAAUGCACCCAAACCCCAGAGCUAAAGUCCUUGGAGCAGCUGAGCCCUAACCUUGAUGGCCAAACACUGGAAAGUAGCCCCACCGCUAUCCUGUCCACAAUGCCGCCUGAUAGCCAUGGCACAGAUGGAAACCAGCUUGGUCCAGUUAAGAGUAGCACAGUUGGCCCAGACCAUUCAAGCCCCCUUCACGUCCCAGCAAUGCCCACACCAGAAAGCCUUGUUCACGUUAGCUCUUCAGUGGAACACAGUAGCCUAAUCUGCUCACCUUGUGCUGAUAGAACAGAAGAACACAUUCAUCAGAGUCCUUCUUGUGACAGCCCAUCACGCUGCGCAGAAGCUAAUGAAGCUUCUUUCUACAGACAGCAUUAGGCAGACGAGCCCAACAUCUGCCACUUCCCUACCAGAUGACUUAUCUGCUGUUAGCCCCAACCAGGCCACUCUGAGCCAGGUUAGCCGGUCCCCAGCUGGUCCUCCUCAUACCCCCGACAGGUCUGUUGAGAACCAACAAAGCCCUGCCCCGGGAAGCCCUCUCUGUCACAGCUCAGCUGCCCCUGUUGAUGCUACUUCCACUCAGGCUAGUCCGAGCCAUGCUAGUCCCACUCAGGAUAACACUGUGAUGCCUAGCACUAGUGAAACACCCGCUAGUCCUCCACCCUCUGCCCCCUCACAGGUUAGCCCUCCUCAUGCUCCACAACCUCACGCUAGCUCUGGGCACAGUAACAUGGUUGCUAGUCUUGUUUGUGGCCCCUUGCAAUCAGGUGAUGACCCUAGUCCUGUCCCUACCAGCCCUGUGCGGCCAGAGUCUCCUUCUAGCCCUGAUCCUGCCCGUCAUGUGCAGCCAGAGGCUAGUUCCAGUCCUGGUCUUGGUAGCCCAAUUAAGUGCAAGGCUAGCCCUGGACCCCAUUUUGUUAGCUCUGUUCUUGCCACCCUUGGACAGUCUGAAGAAAGCCCAAGUCCUGGUCCAACUAGCCGUGUGCAGCCUGGUCCUGAUCCUGGUAGCCUCUCUGUUUCCAGCCCCCAGCAGUCUGCAGCCACAGUGGACAUAGCCGAGGAGCAGGAGGAGCAGGAGGAGACGGUGCAGCCGAGGAGGACUGAAGAAGAGGGUGAGAUGGAGAGAGAACCUCUGCAGCAGAAGGAGGAAGAGGAGCAGCCUCAACAGACAACAAAGAAGAGGCCAGGAGAGGAGGAGCCUGUUGAGAGUAAAGAAAAGGAGGAGGAGGAGGAGGAGGAUCAGCAAAACAGCUCCACUGCAGGAGUCCAGCUGGGAUCUGUCCUGAAUGAAGACUUUCAGAGUCCUCCUCACACUGCUCCUGCCUCCCCACUCCUCCCACAGACAACUCCUCCCUCCCCCCAACCCACCACACCACACUCUGCCUUACCCUGCCAGGAGCCCUCCUACUCCCACUCGUCUUCACCUCCUGCCUCACCACAGUCUCCUCCUCCUAGAGCUGGCUCUCUAGAAGUCUCCCCCUCCUCCCCUCACAGGAUUGCCUUACUCCCCUCUUGCUCUACCCACCCCCUGUCUCCCCCCUCCUCCCCUCUGGAGGACCUCCCCCAAGAGGAGGAACUAACCAAUCAACGAGAAGCUGAGACGGGGAAGAGGGCCGAGGCGGUGCUAGAGGACGACAUGCUUUCCUGUCAUGUGACAUUGGGGGAUGAUGACAGCCAAUCACAGAGCCCGUUUGAACCUGUUGCUGUGGCAACAGAAUCCACCAAAGAAGAGCACCAAUCGCACACUGAGCCUUCAGAAAGGGGGGAGGAGGAGGAGGAGGAGGAGGAGUCGGCAGCUAAUAUGGCAGCUGAUUGUGAAGUGGUAGCCAGGCAACAGCCAAUGAGGAAGGAGCAGGAUGCACAGGAGGAGGAGCAGGAGGAGGUGGUGACUGGUAGGAUGGAUGAAGAGGAGGAGGAGGAGGAGGAGGAGGUGGAGGAGGCGAGGGAAGGCACUGAGCCUGAGGACCAAUCAGAUGUGGAGGAGGAGGACCCAAUGAGUCCCGUGCUGGAACUGGACCACUCUUUAGACAUGGAGGUGAUGGAGCUGAUGACCUCCUCGUCUCCUCCCCCGUCCCUCCUGCACCUCUCCACCCCCAGCCCGCCUCCCUUCUCCCGCCGAGGAAAGGGUCGGACUCUCAGGCCUCCUCCUUGCUCCUCAAGGCCAUCAGAUGACCUCUCCAUCCGUCUGAGGCAGUCUCCCUUCUCCACGGAGGCCUCCCCUGAGACCUCCCCCGCCAGAGCUCCCAUCACCCCACCUCCACUCUCCCCGCUCUCACCUCCUCUCCAGUGCGCCCCCCCUGCAAGAGAAUCUCCAACUCUCUCCAAGCCCCAGGCACCUCCCACCACUGUACUCCCCCUCACCCCUAAAAUCGGUAUGGGGAAACCGGCCAUCUCUAAGAGGAAGUUCUCCCCGGGCAGAGCCAGGGUCAAACAGGGUUCGUGGUGGAGUAAUCGCAGGGCGGUGAGCCCCCCCUCAUCCUCCCAGGAUUCCAUGGGUGAGGGAGGUUGGGACAGCCCUAAGCACCGUCCAGCAGACUCCCCCAUCUGGAGCAUGAGAGUGGUAAAGAACCAACUCUGUGUGUGUGUUACUGUGUGUCUGUGUGUGUUACUGUGUGUCUGUGUGUUACUGUGUGUCUGUGUGUUACUGUGUGUCUGUGUGUGUUACUGUGUGUCUGUGUGUGUUACUGUGUGUCUGUGUGUUACUGUGUGUCUGUGUGUUACUGUGUGUCUGUGUGUGUUACUGUGUGUCUGUGUGUUACUGUGUGUGUGUGUGUUACUGUGUGUCUGUGUGUUACUGUGUGUGUGUGUGUGUGAGUGUCUGUGUGUGUUACUGUGUGUCUGUGUGUUACUGUGUGUCUGUGUGUUACUGUGUGUGCUGUGUGUUACUGUGUGUCUGUCUGUGUGUUACUGUGUGUCUGUCUGUGUGUUACUGUGUGUCUGUGUGUGUUACUGUGUGUCUGUGUGUUACUGUGUGUCUGUGUGUUACUGUGUGUCUGUGUGUGUUACUGUGUGUCUGUGUGUUACUGUGUGUCUGUGUGUUACUGUGUGUCUGUGUGUUACUGUCUGUGUGUUACCUGUGUGUUUCUGUGUCUGUGUGUGUUACUGUGUGUCUGUGUGUUACUGUGUGUCUGUGUGUGUUACUGUGUGUCUGUGUGUUACUGUGUGUCUGUGUGUUUACUGUGUGUCUGUGUGUUACUGUGUGUCUGUGUGUUACUGUGUGUCUGUGUGUUACUGUGUGUCUGUGUGUGUUACUGUGUGUCUGUGUGUUACUGUGUGUCUGUGUGUGUGAGAGAGAGAAAGACGAGGCAGAG